GCUUUCAACAAAUUCCCUUUGUGCUUAAAUUAGCCCGACUGCGAUUUUCCUGCUUGCAACUAAGAAACGUGUGGUUCUUGGUUCCGAACUGCUGAGCUGAGCCGGGUUGCGUCUGGUGACCUCAGCCCUCACCGGCCACAGACCCUGAUGGGCCCACAGGGGAAGCGAAGGGCACGGUUUCCAUGCAGUGACCUUGAGUUGCCUUCUACGGCGUGGGCAGAGCGCGAGAGCAGUUUCAGGCCUAAGGGAGGAGCAUCCGGAUGAAUAGCUGCCCGCGAAUAAGGACGAUUGAGAGCCACGCGACAUCUGUCAGGGAUCUCGUCCUGCCCCUGAAGAAACGCCGGGCAUGUUUCCCGCCUCCCCGGCCGAUGGAGCUCCGCAUGGGGUUGGCCCAGCCUCCAUCCAGAGUUCGUCUUUGCCAUCAACGGCCAAAGUGACCUUUCUUUCUCCUGACUGCUCUUUCGGUCGUCAGGUCUACGUGGCUGCUGUCACCGCAGGGACACAACGUGGGUGCCACUGAGGAUGAGAACUCACGCGGAGCGAGGCCGGGUGCUUUCUGAAGAGUCUGACACCUCGGCCUCUGCCUCCUGCUCCCGCCUGCUCUUUGUCCUUUCUACGCCUUUAACUCGUCUCCCUUCCUAACACACACACACACACACACACACACACACACACACACACACACACACACACACACACACACACACACACACACACACACACACACACACACACACACACACACACACACACACACACACACCCCCCCCACCCACCCACCCACCCAAAAAGAAUUCCCGCAAGCAUCGGCGGCCUGAGCGCCCUCCGUGGCUCUGCAAACCUCCCCGCGCCUGUGUGGGCGCCGCCGUCCUCGUCCUCUUUUCCCACUAGAUGGCAGUAUGGAGCCACGGAUCCGCCGCCACCGCCGGGCAGCCCCAGGCUGUGUGUCUGCGCUCAUCCAUCUCAGCCCACGCUUCAGAGGGCUCUGAGAAAUACACGCGUGCCAGCUCUCCGGUCAUGCCUCAAUGCAGCACCUAAUAAAUCCCGGCUCUCUCCUUAACCAAACCGUUUCCCUCCUACUUUGCAGAUCAGAUUCUGCAGUCUACACAAUAGGUCUCCUCCUCGGAAGUUAUGGGAAUAAAAUCAGGGUAAUGGUUCUGAC
rnacentral:lncRNA from 1 species